CUCGGACCCUCGCGCAUGUUCUAGAAUUAGAGUUUGAUCCUGGCUCAGGAUGAACGCUGGCGGCGUGCCUAACACAUGCAAGUCGAGCGAUCUCUUCGGAGAGAGCGGCGGACGGGUGAGUAACGCGUGGGUAACCUGCCCUGUACACACGGAUAACACACCGAAAGGUAUACUAAUACGGGAUAACAUAUAAAAGUCGCAUGGCUUUUGUAUCAAAGCUCCGGCGGUACAGGAUGGACCCGCGUCUGAUUAGCUAGUUGGUAAGGUAAUGGCUUACCAAGGCAACGAUCAGUAGCCGACCUGAGAGGGUGAUCGGCCACACUGGAACUGAGACACGGUCCAGACUCCUACAGGGAGGCGGCAGUGGGGGAUAUUGCACAAUGGGCGAAAGCCUGAUGCAGCAACGCCGCGUGAGCGAUGAAGGCUUUCGGGUCGUAAGCUCUGUCCUCAGGAAGAUAAUGACGGUACUUGAGGAGGAAGCCCCGGCUAACUACGUGCCAGCAGCCGCGGUAAUACGUAGGGGCUAGCGUUAUCC
rnacentral:rRNA from 1 species